GGGCGUUGAAUUAUACGUUAGCGCUUUGGUUGAGACCCUGAUUUCCUUCUGAUCCCGACACACAUACAAACACAAACACACACAGCGCUCUGACAGACUGACAGAGGACGGACGGACGGAGGGACGGACGAAACAAGCAGGAACAACAAAGAAAGAAGAAAGAAGGUAAAAGAAAGCUCAAAGAAGCGAAGCUGAGAAAGCAAAGGAAGGGAAGAAGAGCAGGAAUCAGCAGGGAGAAAGAGGAUGUUAUGCAGUGUCCUGGCUGCUGGACAUUGCUGAAGAAGCCUGUAUGGGCAGUAACAGUGAGCCCUUCCUCUUCAUAUGACACCGACAACAGCUGCUGCUUCGUCCCCGUCUGUCCAUGUGUGGAGGCAGUUGGCCGGUGCUGUGUGCGGUGUGCUGUGUUUAAGCGAAACCACCAACAAAAUCCCAAACCAGUCAAAGCACUUCCCUCAGAGAAACACCUCAGGAAACAUUUUUCAUUUCAUUUCGUUGAUCAGCUGGAUUUUUAGCAAGUGAACAGGUUUCCCCAGUUUGUCAAGAAAAGUAGAACCUCAACACUCACACAAAUGGCCCCCAAGAAGAAGGCCUCCCGUCAGAAGAAGCCUGCCGCGGAAACCACCCCUCAGGUCGCCAUGGAGACCCUCCCAAUCCAGCUGAAGGUGGAGAGCCGUGGUGACGGUGUGGUGGUGGUGGAGGGCGGGAUGAAGAAGAUCGAGCAGAUGGCGGCGCUGGACAUCGCUCAGCUCAACAGCCUCAACCUGCCGCUGCCGCCGCCGGUCAUCAAGCCCGGAGAGAGAGGCCUCGGCCUGGGCAGCGAGCUGACGCGGCCCCUGCACGGCAACGCCCUGCUGGAGGAGCUCAGCAAGAUGCGGCAGGAGAAGUUCCUCACUGAUCUGGAGUUGGCCUGUAAGACGAAGGCCUUCGACGUCCACAAGCUUGUCAUCUCCUCCGUCAGUCAGUACUUCAGAGAGAUUUUGGCUAAAGACCCGGGCAUGAAGCGCCUGGAGCUCCCCUCCCUCUCACCUUUAGGCCUCGCUAACGUCAUCACCUUCGCCUACCUGGGUCGCGUCCACAUGUCCCUCUACACCAUCGGUUGCACCGUCUCUGCCGCCGCCACCCUGCAGAUCUCUCAGCUCCUCAAGAUGUGCAUGGACUUCCUGCUGGCCGAGCUCAACGUGCAGACCUGCGUCUACAUCUGGAACAUCGCCGCCGCCUACGGCCUGAGGCCGGUGUGCGAUGCCGCCCGCCGCUUCGUCCUGGAGAACUUUGUGCAGUUCGCCGACACGCCGCUGUUCAACCAGCUGACCCUGGAGCAGAUCUCCGCCUUCCUGCAGGACGACUCGCUGCUGUUGCCUUCAGAGGUCACAGCCUUCCAGCUGGCCAUGAGGUGGCUUGACUUCGACGCCUCUCGUCAGGGCCACGCCACAGAGCUGCUGUCUCACAUCCGCUUUGAGACGAUCCCGGCCAGCGAGCUCGUGAGCCAGAUCCAGCCGGUGCCCCGCAUGAUGAUGGACCCUCACUGCCACCGCCUGCUGGUGGACGCCAUGAACUACCACCUGCUGCCCUACCAGCAGAACACCCUGCAGUCCCGACGCACACAGGUCCGCGCCAGUCAGCAGACCCUGCUCACCGUCGGGGGUCGACCAUCGCUCACCGAGAGAGCUCUCAGCCGCGAGGUGCUGUGGCGAGACCCUCGGGAAGGAGGAGCCACCUGGCGUCACCUCACCCAGCUGCCGGCGAAGAGCUUCAACCAGUGUGUGGCUGUGAUGGACGGCUUCCUGUACGUGGCUGGAGGAGAGGACCAGAACGACGCCCGCAACCAGGCCAAGCACGCCGUCAGCACCCUGAGCAGAUAUGAUCCUCGCUUCAACACCUGGCUCCACCUGGCCAGCAUGCGUCAGCGCCGCACCCACUUCUCUCUGACGGCCAGCGGCGGCCGCCUGUUCGCCAUCGGCGGCCGCAACGUUGAGGGUCUGCUGGCCACCACCGAGAGUUACCUGCCCUCCUCCAACACCUGGCAGAUGCGUGCCCCCAUGGAGGUGCCCCGCUGCUGCCACUCCAGCGCCACCCUGCCCUCCGGAGACAUCCUGGUGACCGGCGGGUACAUCAACUGCGCCUACUCCCGCUCCGUGGCAUGCUAUAACGUGGACGCCGACACGUGGAGCGAGAAGGCCUCCAUGGAGACACCGCGCGGCUGGCACUGCUCCGCCGCCCUCGGAGGGAAGGUGUAUGUGGUGGGAGGAAGCCAGCUGGGGCCCGGCGGCGAGCGGGUGGAUGUGCUCUCCGUGGAGGUCUUCUCCCUGGAGAGCGGCGCCUGGAGCCGGGCCGCCCCUCUCCUUCUCGGUGUGAGCACCGCCGGUCUGUCCCCGCUGGCCGACAAGCUGUACCUGCUGGGAGGCUGGAACGAGGCAGAGAAGCGCUACAAGGCGGCCGUCCAGAAGUACGACCCGGCCACAGACAGCUGGUCCAUGGCCGAGGAUCUGCCCGAGCCCACCGUGGGAGUGUCCUGCUGCACCCUGAGCCUGCCGCCACGCCACACACCGCGCCGCCAGCAGCACCGCAACACCCCAGCCCACGAAGAACAGCAGCAGGCCGGGAAGAACCGGAGCAGAGAGAGCAGCAUGGCUCCUUCCCAAACCAUCACAGCAUAGAGAAACAUGCAUGGGAGAGACUAGAAGAGGAGGGCUGGUUAAACCGCUGGACAACAUCUGGAUCAUGUCUGCUCUUUAUUCUGUAUAUAUAUAUAUAUAUAUAUAUAUAUAUAUAUAUAGAGUGUGUUAUAUCCAGUGUAUGUGGAAAAAUUCACCUACUUACUUACUUACUAAAAAUGUAUUUCAGUCUGCAAUUAAUCCCACAAAUAAUGUGGAUAAAGAAAAACAGACAACAGAAAAUACAACAAACUUUAAAACAGUACCAUAGAAAACAAACCAGCAGAAACAUUUUUUCUUCCGAGCAUUAAAAGUAAGUAAAAUAUAUUCUGGAAAUAUUAAAAUAAAUAUAUUUUAAAUAUAUACAAAAAUCUAACAUGAUUAUGGAGAAUUUGAUUGGACAACAUUUUGCAUAUUUUCCAUUGAUUUACACAAUUUAGAUUUAGCACUGGUGCUUAAUCCUUUUUGAGGUGAUUUUAGGGUUUCUAAAAAAACAUUUUUACUUCACAUUAGACUUUCAUUCUUAUAAUUACUAGAGAUGAAGAGAAAGAUGCUAAUUUGAUUGCCCAGGUCGUGCAAGAAAAGAAAAGAGAGCUUGCAUGAUCCAAAGUGGUCUCAGAAAGUUUAACAUUGAUGGAAACUGAGAAGAAAAGGUAGAUAAGGGAUGAAUUGUAGAGCGGAACAGGUGGAGGUAGAGAGGUGAUGGGUGGAGGAGGAUGAUGGAAAGAAGGGAACAGUGGCUGUCUGCGUUUGAGCGGGUUGAAAAAGUUAAAACCUCACUGUGAAUCCCCUGGCAGUUUGUGUACAAAGAUGUCUCUAAGCUGUGUGUGUGUGUGUGUGUGUGUGUGUGUUUUAACUGUGAAAAUAAAUGUGAAUGUGUGUGUGUGUGUGUGUGUGUGUGUGUGUGUGUGUGUUUUAACUGUGAAAAUAAAUGUGGUGUGUGUAUGUGGUUUAACUGUAAAAAUAAAUAUGAAUGUGUGUGUGUGUGUGUGAGUGUGUGUGUGUUCACGUCUGACAGAGGAGUGAUUGACAGCAGUGUUUGGCUGGAACAGGAAAAUGAGACAAUUCUGACAAAAACUUUUGAGAUUUCUCACCAGCAAAGUCUAAAUAUUUCUCAUGAGGAUCCAAGCAGCUCAGCAAUAAACCAACCUGUUUGAUUUAUUUAACGGAUAUCUGUCAGAAGUAGUGUAGCUCAAUUGUGAUAAAAGUAUUUAUAGAUUUAGUAAAUAUGUAUUUUAUAAGUGCAAUGGAGUAAAAGGAUUUAGAGUGAACACGAGGAAGGCGGGUGAACUCAACACAGGUGAGAUUUCUUGAUUGGAAGAAACAUCUUAAAAGAAUGCAUAAAAAUCUGCAAAAUACAGAUAAAAAUCUGACAAAAAAAAAAUCCACCCAAGCCUCACCCAUGUUUGUGUAUUUGCCGUCCUCAGACGUUGUCUAAUUCUUACUGAAACUAAGACAAACCAACUGAAGAACCAGUGAGACUCCAGCAGGUGGAAAGAGUAACCGCUUAAAAGUGGCAACUGCAUAUUGAGUUAUUGAUAAAUAUGAUUUAUCAGUAGAUGCAAUGAGGCUGAUCUGGCUCAUUUGAUUGGAUGAAUCCCUCUCUAUUAGUGGACGAGCUCUGUGCUGGUGGUUUCACUGAAUAAAGCCAAUGUGAUCAAAACAU